GAGAAGACGCGCGUGAGAGACACCCCUCCCCUCUUUCUUAGUGUAGAAUUGUUACUCUCCUCGUUCCACUUUCUGACCUGAACCACAGCAAUCCCAUAAUUCCUGAAUCAGCCAUCCGAAAUGUCGGAAUAACUUUGCGAAUUGUUGCCAGCCUCGUUCCACUUUCUGACCCGAAAUGACCAAUCCCAUAAUUCCUGAGUUAGCCAUCUGAAAUGUCGGAACAACCUGGCGCGAAGAACUGGUGCUGUUCGAUGAGCUUAACUGCAUUGAAUCUGGUCAAGAAUUGGUCAGCAGGAAUAAAGGUGGUCGCGAAGAG